CUGUAAGACCAACAGGUGCAGAGUCAUCGCCAAAAACUGGAGUUCAUCGCAAAAUUACGCUGUUACCACACACCAGAGCUCUGCAUCUUCUCGUCUUCCUCUUCCAAGUCAUAAUCAAGAAUCGAGACCCAGAAAUUGGGUUUGGAAUAGGCUUUGCAAGAAAUUGUGACUACAAUGUGUUGCCGAACUUUUUGAGAACUUCCUUUCCCUUCUAACUCAAACUUGGUGAAGUACUUAAUUUUUUUCCCCUUCAAUAGAGAUCCAACGCUAUCCUUGUGCCUGUAGAAACAGGAACUGGAGAAGCAGCCAUAUUAUCUUGUAAUUUGGAAGCAAUAACUCUACUUUUCUAGUGUAAUAGUUAGCUGUUGAGAUGAAAGGUAUGAAGGAGCAUUAUAGAUGAAAAAAGUUUGAGUCAUAGGUCAAAAUUUGAUUUCCGAUUGGGAACACCUCAUUUUCCUGUUGAUUUUCAAUGGAAAUUUUGCUUAUUUUCUGGA